AUGGGUCAUCCCAUUUUGUUCUAAUCUAAUUUUUCAUGCAUUGAAGGUUCGGAAUUUAUCAGAACACUUUCAAAUGUUCUCAAAUGGAUUCAAAUCAAUUUGGACACUCUCAAAAGCCUUCAAAAACUUCUCCAACUUGCUGAAACUUCAACUUUUGACAUACUUGAUAAAGCUUUUCAAACUUAAUCUCUUGGACUACCUGAAACAUCACAAAAAUAAUCUCCAA
rnacentral:lncRNA from 1 species